rnacentral:rRNA from 1 species
UACAGAGGGGGCAAGCGUUGUUCGGAAUUACUGGGCGUAAGGGGCGCGUAGGCGGCCUGCUAAGUCGAACGUGAAAUCCCUGGGCUCAACCCAGGAACUGCGUCCGAUACUGGUUGGCUUGAAUCCGGGAGAGGGAUGUGGAAUUCCAGGUGUAGCGGUGAAAUGCGUAGAUAUCUGGAGGAACACCGGUGGCGAAGGCGGCAUCCUGGACCGGUAUUGACGCUGAGGCGCGAAAGCCAGGGGAGCAAACGGG